GGCCCAUUACUAGGAGCAAUCUCUAUAUGACUAGUCUUCCUCUUCUUCACAUUCGGUAAGCCAGUCAGUAAUUUCUCUACAGUGAACUUCAUUUAUGCUCAAGUCAAGAAAUCAUAGUAUCAGGACAUGUGAACAAGGAAAGAGAGUAAAGAAACUGAAGAUUUUAAAAAAAUUCAUUUAUUUCCUAUCGCUUCUCUAGGGUUACA
rnacentral:lncRNA from 1 species